rnacentral:rRNA from 1 species
AUGAACGCUGGCGGCGUGCUUAACACAUGCAAGUCGAACGAAGCACUUUAUUUGAUUUCCUUCGGGACUGAUUAUUUUGUGACUGAGUGGCGGACGGGUGAGUAACGCGUGGGUAACCUGCCUUGUACAGGGGGAUAACAGUUGGAAACGGCUGCUAAUACCGCAUAAGCGCACAGCAUCGCAUGAUGCAGUGUGAAAAACUCCGGUGGUAUAAGAUGGACCCGCGUUGGAUUAGCUAGUUGGUGAGGUAACGGCCCACCAAGGCGACGAUCCAUAGCCGACCUGAGAGGGUGACCGGCCACAUUGGGACUGAGACACGGCCCAAACUCCUACGGGAGGCAGCAGUGGGGAAUAUUGCACAAUGGGCGAAAGCCUGAUGCAGCGACGCCGCGUGAGCGAAGAAGUAUUUCGGUAUGUAAAGCUCUAUCAGCAGGGAAGAUAAUGACGGUACCUGACUAAGAAGCACCGGCUAAAUACGUGC